rnacentral:tRNA from 1 species
AGUUGGGUGGCUGAUAAAAGCGUUAGAUUGUAAAUCUAAUUAUAGAGUUUUCUCCUUACUA